ACAAAAUUAUUUGUGAAAUAUGAAAUUCUUAAAGGUGGAAUUAGACCUUUUUGGUAGAUAGCUACACAUGGAAAAUGUUUUGUCACUUAACCACUAUCCAAAGCUUAAUGUCAAUUAAACCUUUAAUUUCCUUAAGCCAGUAAGCUUUUAUUUUUAUGUUGCAUUUUUUCUGUAAUCUUUCUAAUGACGAAAUUGAAUUCCAAAGAAAAUGAGAGUUAUAAAAUGAAACAAUGCAGGACUAAAUGAAAAACACAGGUUCAAAAUAAAGGCUAGAGACCAAGUAAAAUAAUCCUUUGGGUGCCUUGUAGCCACUUUGCUGCCUUGGGGCUUUGUUUCUACCUCUUUUUAUUCCUCACAAGUUGAAUUUGUUUAUGCAUAAUUCUGAAACCAUAUAGGCUUAAGUUUCACAGUUUUGGAGAUUCAGAGGUAGCUUGAAUAGACUCUUCAAAUAGCCUUCUUCACUGUAGCUUCCAAUGCUGCAAGUUUAUUGGGGAGUUAUUUUAACUACUAGAAAGGGUCUUUUUGGAAAAAAAAACUUUUUGAGGAAUAAUUUACAAACCAUUAAAACUUGCCUAAGUUCUUGCAUAGUUUAACAAAUUGUAGAUAAAAGGAUAUAUUUCUCUAACAAUCACCAUAAUCAAUUUUUGGAACAUUUACGUAAAUCCCCCAAAGUUUCCUAUGCCUGUUUCUAUCAACUACUAUGUGCUGUCCUCACCUCAGAACAAGGCAUCUACUAAUGUGCUUUCUGUUGCUACAGUUUCUCCUUUUCUAGAACUUUCUUUGCUGCCUUUCAUUUGGCAAAAUGAUUUUGGGAUUCAUGCUGGGAACUGUUUAUUAGCAGUUUGUUCUUUUUUAUUGCUGAGUCUAUUCCAUUAGAAGGCAUAUUUAUUUAUUCUUUUUUCCAGUUGAUAGUUGUUUGUCUCUCUUGGUAAUUGUGGAUGAAGCUUCCAAUAACAUUCAUAUAUAAGUGUGUGUGAGAACAUUUACCUUAAUUUCUCUUAGGAAUGCCUGGAAAUGUCAUUGCCGGGCCCUAUGUGCAUGCUUUACUUUUUAAGUGACUGAAAACUAUAUCUUUCCCUGAGUGGUUGUGCCAUUUUGCAUUCUCCCUCAGUUAGUUUGCCUGAUUGGCCAUAACAAAGUAGUACAGAUACAGUGAAUUGAACAACAGAAAUCAAAUCUUCCCCCAGUUCUUGCGGGGACAAGUCUAAGAUCAAGGUGUCAUCAGAGUUCGUUUCUUCUGAGGUCUGUCUUUUUGGCUUGUAGAUGACAAUUGUCUUUCUGUGGUCUCCUAUGGGAAUUCCCAUGUGGUUUCCUAUGGUUUCCUAUGUAUGGGUGUACAUGGGCUUGUGCACAUGCAAUGAUCUUUAGAGAUAAUAUAAUAUAUAAAUUAAAGUUCAAAUUUGAUGCCUGAUUCUUAGUCAGGGCUCAGUCAAUAUAUUUUUUUUCAUACACCUGCUCCUGACUUAAUGAGUAAGGGAUGAGGGAUAAGUUUAGAAGAAAGAUUUGGUCCCUUAAUAAACGUAGUAGGUGCAAAGUUACUGACAUUGCUGAUAAGCAGACCUGGAAUCCUGUAUAUUUCUGUCACUAGAUAACUGAACAGCCUUAGGUGAGUGCACUCACCUUAUGAUCUGCAAGUCUGACUUACUGGUAAUAUACCAUCAGAGGUGAGUUUACCACAAGUGAAUUUAUUUUGUCAAUGCUUGAUACUGUAAGGGAUUUAACAGGCAUUAAUGGAAUCGGAAAUACUUGAGGGCCUCAAUCACUUAUGUUUUGAAGGAAUAAAUCCUUGCUGCAGUGAUUUCUUUCUCCCUUUCUUCUUCCCUUCCCUUCCUUUCUCCUCCCUCCCUACCCCCUGCUUACUUUCUACUUCCCUAUCUCCCUCCCCUUUUCCUUUCUUCACUCCUAAAAUAUCUGAAGUAUUGUCACUCCCUUCCUUUCUACUGUUUUUUACAGUUAAAUAGAGACUCUAUCCGCAUUUCUCUCCAGAUGGAUACCCUGCAAAGCCUGGACCCUGAAGCUUCUGAUUCCAAGUCUAAGAAGAGCUGCAGAGGAUUGUCUGCAGAUAUACUCCAACUUCUUUCCUUCAGAAUAUGCAUUCAAAUGAGACAGGCACAUAUGAGGGAAGCAUCCAGCACAGAACAAGGGUCAUGAUACAUUCACUGGGAUCAUGUUCCAUCAAUGGAGUUGGCAGAAUCAGGUUCCAAGAUUGUGUCCCUCAUUGGUUAUGAGACCUGGAGCAAGUUAUCAAACCUUUCUGAGCCUCUGUUCCUGCACAUAUCAACCAAAAUUAUAAAAUAACCAGGAAUAUUAUAAAUAUUCUGUGAGACAAUAUUGUAUAAAAUGUUUUGUACAAGUCUGGCAUUCAAUUUUCAUUUAAUAAUAUCUAUUAUUACUAUAAUAAUUAUUAUUACUAUUGACUAAUUUUGUUGUUAUCAACUCUUAGUACAUGUAAGAAUUACUUUAGGAUUUUGGUGAACAAUCAGAAUCCUAUAUAUCUUCCCACAAUAUACUUGUUCACAAUACUUGGAUAAUAAAUCUGGAAAUUUCUGUUUUGAAA